AUGAAUAACCUCUUCUCUCUUCUUUUUUAUGUCAAUGUUGGAGCACCUUGGGGUGUCGAGGAGGGGACGCUACAAGAAGUUGAGGAGGCGCCAUAUGAAGUAAUCAAAUUACAAGACAAGAGGCCGGAUGUGCUGGAAUCAAUUAAGGCAUGGACGUGUGCAUCCGAAGAUGGGGACGCUAGGAGGCCAGUCCUUCAUUUUUUCGGAAAAAAGGAGAGUACAACAGCUAAACAAGAACAAAGAAAACUGAAACCUCAAAGGUUACGACGAGGAGGAGGUGGCAUCGACUUUAGACAAAGUGCUGCCCCUGGAUGA
rnacentral:rRNA from 1 species